ensembl:lncRNA
CACAGAUAGGUCAUAGAGCAUUGCCAAGGCUUUUGUCAUAACAGAUAUCUUACCAACCGCAGUGUGUACUGAGCAUUAGUUACUCAGGAGGGUGUUUAGUGAGCAGACAGCCUCUUGGAUUAGAGAUUGUUAUACAAAUGUCAUUCUUUAUCAUCAUCAUCUAACUUUUCAAGAGCAGAGUUAAGAAAGAAACUUUCCUAAUAUCACCAAUUAUCCAGUUGAAUCAUGAAACACAAAAGAAAAAUAAAACAUCUGGAACCUUCAUUGUUAAACUAAACAGAAAAGAGACCAAGAGAAUGUAGGAGGCCUGCAAUCAUGGAAACUCAAGACAUCGGCUCUCAGCCACCAUGUGACCAGAGCUUACACCCAAUGCUGUCAGCUAAAUGCCUGUGAGAGAACUGUCCAACUCCAAGUGUAUUUUUCUUCCACUAGAACAGCUAAAAUUAAAAAGACCAACACUACCAAAAAUUGGCAAGAAGGUGGGCA